rnacentral:rRNA from 1 species
AGAGUUUGAUCCUGGCUCAGGACGAACGCUGGCGGCGUGCUUAAGACAUGCAAGUCGCACGGACCCGGUAACGGGUCCGUGGCGGACGGGUGAGUAACACGUGGAUGACCUGCCUCUUUGUUCGGGACAACGGACCGAAAGGUCCGCUAAUACCGGAUAAGCUCACGGCGCUGCAUGGCGCCGGGAGAAAAGGCCCCGCAAGGGGCUGCAGAGAGAGGGGUCCGCGGUCCAUUAGCUAGUUGGGGGGGUAACGGCCCACCAAGGCGACGAUGGAUAGCCGGCCUGAGAGGGCGACCGGCCACACUGGGACUGAGACACGGCCCAGACUCCUACGGGAGGCAGCAGUCGGGAAUUUUGGGCAAUGGCCGAAAGGGCUGACCCAGCAACGCCGCGUGAGUGAAGAAGGCCUUCGGGUUGUAAAGCUCUGUUGCCCGUGAAGAACGGUACGGUCAGGAAAUGGGCUGUAUUUGACGGUAGCGGGUGAGGAAGCCCCGGCUAACUACGUGCCAGCAGCCGCGGUAAUACGUAGGGGGCGAGCGUUGUCCGGAUUUAUUGGGCGUAAAGGGCGUGUAGGCGGCUGCUUAAGUCAGAAGUGAAAAUCCGGGGCUCAACCCCGGACCUGCUUCUGAAACUGGGCGGCUUGAGUGCUCUAGAGGGCAGUGGAAUUCCCGGUGUAGCAGUGAAAUGCGUAGAGAUCGGGAGGAACACCAGUGGCGAAGGCGACUGCCUGGGGAGCAACUGACGCUGAGGCGCGAAAGCUGGGGGAGCAGACGGGAUUAGAUACCCCGGUAGUCCCAGCCGUAAACGAUGAGUGCUAGGUGUGAGGGGUAUCGACCCCCCUCGUGCCGGAGUUAACGCAAUAAGCACUCCGCCUGGGGAGUACGGCCGCAAGGUUGAAGCUCAAAGGAAUUGACGGGGGCCCGCACAAGCAGCGGAGCAUGUGGUUUAAUUCGAAGCAACGCGUAGAACCUUACCAGGGCUUGACAUGUAGCGAAUCCUGCAGAGAUGUGGGAGUGCUCCUUCGGGAGAACGCUAACACAGGUGGUGCAUGGUUGUCGUCAGCUCGUGUCGUGAGAUGUUGGGUUAAGUCCCGCAACGAGCGCAACCCUUAUUGCCAGUUGCCAUCAUUUAGUUGGGCACUCUGGCGAAACUGCCCCGGAUAACGGGGAGGAAGGUGGGGAUGACGUCAAGUCCUCAUGGCCUUUAUGUCCAGGGCUACACACGUGCUACAAUGGUCGGUACAAACCGUCGCAAACCCGCGAGGGGGAGCUAAUCGGAAAAAGCCGACCUCAGUUCGGAUUGUAGUCUGCAACUCGACUACAUGAAGCUGGAAUCGCUAGUAAUCGCAGAUCAGAACGCUGCGGUGAAUACGUUCCCGGGCCUUGUACACACCGCCCGUCACAUCACGAAAGUGGGUUGUACUAGAAGUCGGUGGGCUAACCGCAAGGAAGCAGCCGCCCAAGGUAUAUCUCAUGAUUGGGGUGAAGUCGUAACAAGGUAUCC